rnacentral:rRNA from 1 species
GAUGAACGCUGGCGGCGUGCCUAAUACAUGCAAGUCGAGCGAACGGACGAUAAGCUUGCUUCUCUGAUGUUAGCGGCGGACGGGUAAGUAACACGUGGAUAACCUACCUAUAAGACUGGGAUAACUUCGGGAAACCGGAGCUAAUACCGGAUAAUAUUUUGAACCGCAUGGUUCAAAAGUGAAAGACGGUCUUGCUGUCACUUAUAGAUGGAUCCGCGCUGCAUUAGCUAGUUGGUAAGGUAACGGCUUACCAAGGCAACGAUGCAUAGCCGACCUGAGAGGGUGAUCGGCCACACUGGAACUGAGACACGGUCCAGACUCCUACGGGAGGCAGCAGUAGGGAAUCUUCCGCAAUGGGCGAAAGCCUGACGGAGCAACGCCGCGUGAGUGAUGAAGGUCUUCGGAUCGUAAAACUCUGUUAUUAGGGAAGAACAUAUGUGUAAGUAACUGUGCACAUCUUGACGGUACCUAAUCAGAAAGCCACGGCUAACUACGUG